GGGCGGUUAGCUCAGCGGUUAGAGCGUUCGGUUUACACCCGAAAGGUCAUCCGUUCAAAUCGGAUACUGCCCACCA
rnacentral:tRNA from 1 species